rnacentral:rRNA from 1 species
AGCGAACGCUGGCGGCAGGCCUAACACAUGCAAGUCGAACGAACCUUUCGGGGUUAGUGGCGGACGGGUGAGUAACACGUGGGAACGUGCCUUUAGGUUCGGAAUAACUCAGGGAAACUUGUGCUAAUACCGAAUGUGCCCUUCGGGGGAAAGAUUUAUCGCCUUUAGAGCGGCCCGCGUCUGAUUAGCUAGUUGGUUGAGGUAAUGGCACACCAAGGCGACGAUCAGUAGCUGGGCUGAGAGGAUGAUCAGCCAGAUUGGGACUGUGACACGGCCCACACUCCUACGGGGGGCAGCGGAGGGGAAUCUAGCGGGAUGGGGGCAGACCUGGCACAGCCAUGCCGCGUGAAUGAUGAAGGUCGUAGGAUUCUAAAAUUGUUUCUCCGGAGACGUUAAUGACGGUACCCGGUGAAGAAGCCCCGGCUAACUUCGUG